rnacentral:rRNA from 1 species
CCUACGGGAGGCAGCAGUAGGGAAUAUUGCGCAAUGGAGGAAACCCUGAAGCAGCAACGCCGCGUGGGGGAUGAAGGUUUUAGGAUUGUAAACUCCUGUUGUAAGAGAAGAUAAUGACGGUAUCUCACAAGUAAACACCGUCUAAAUCCGUGCCAGCAGCCGCGGUAAUACGGAGGGUGCAAGCGUUGCGCGGAAUCACUGGGCGUAAAGAGUGCGCAGGCGGGUUUGUAAGUCAGAUGUGUAAUGCUGUAGCUUAACUACAGAUCUGCAUUUGAAACUAUGAGUCUAGAGUGCGGGAGAGGUAGGUGGAAUUCUUGGUGUAGGGGUAAAAUCCGUAGAUAUCAAGAGGAAUACUCAUUGCGAAGGCGACCUACUGGAACAUUACUGACGCUCAUGCACGAAAGCGUGGGGAGCAAACAGGAUUAGAUACCCCUGUAGUC